CCUACGGGUGGCAGCAGUGAGGAAUAUUGGUCAAUGGCCGGAAGGCUGAACCAGCCAUGCCGCGUGAAGGUCAGUGCCCUAUGGGCGUUAAACUUCUUUUGUGCGGGAGCAAUAAUGGUCACGUGUGGCCAGACGAGAGUACCGUACGAAUAAGCAUCGGCUAACUCCGUGCCAGCAGCCGCGGUAAUACGGGGGAUGCAAGCGUUAUCCGGAUUUAUUGGGUUUAAAGGGUGCGUAGGCUGUGAGGUAAGUCAGCGGUGAAAUGCCCCCGCUCAACGGGGUGAAGUGCCAUUGAUACUGCCUGGCUGGAAUGCGGGUGCCGUGGGAGGAAUGUGUGGUGUAGCGGUGAAAUGCAUAGAUAUCACACAGAACACCGAUGGCGAAGGCAUCUCACGAAUCCGCGAUUGACGCUGAGGCACGAAAGCGUGGGUAUCAAACAGGAUUAGAUACCCCUGUAGUC
rnacentral:rRNA from 1 species